CCAUACCCGACCCCUCGAACGUUAAGUUUUAGGGCGGGUCAUGCACCGAUGUGGUAGUCGCCGCAGAGGCAGGAAAACAUCACCGACAUCCCGGAAAGAUGGAUUUAAAAUCUCAUGGCAGCCAGAUGCUGAGGAAGGCCGUAGGAAGCUGUGUGCUGUCUCCAGCUUGGUUUUGCUGUAUUUCUGAAGAGAGAAAUGCUCCAGAGAACUGCUCGGGCUGCUUUGGCAGAGUUUUGCUGCUUCAGUGGACUUGUGCCAUCUGGACAGACUCUAGCUGCUUCAGUGGAAUCAUUCUGAUGAGUGAUGAGUGUUGCUUCUGCUGCUGCUUUGCCAGACUGCUGGUAUCCUGAUGACUGAGUUUGAGACAACCUCCAUGGAACCCUCUUGGCACUAGUCCGCAGGCCUUUGAGAUGCAGCCUCCCGCCAAAGUUCUCUCAUCCUCCAGCCAAGAGAAGCACAUUUGUUCCUGACGCAGGUGGUGGAGAGACAGAAGAUUUACGAGGCAUGGCAAAGGAAUCUGAUUGAAGUCUUUGCUGGCUGAGGAUCAAGAAUUCUGACAUAUCUAACAAAAAAAUGGCAGUGACAACUGCUUUUCUAGAGAUAAUGCUGUCCAAACAUUAGUAUUUCCUGGGGUUGCCACAGCACCCAGAACAGACUGUGUAUAGUUCUUCCAGCAAUCUUGGGGUCACCAAAGGGGAGGGGAGUGGUCCAAUGUCCUGGAAAUGCUGAUGGUGAUUCCAAAUUUCUACUGUUGUCUGACAUCCUAAGUAAACAAUGUCUCUGUGUAGUCUGCCUUUUAAAUUUUUUGUAUGGUGCUUGGGGAAUCAACCAGGGUCUGUAUGUUCUAGGCAAGUACUCUUCCUGAGCUACACCCCUAGCCCCCUCUGUUAGUUUCUGUGAGAUAAGAUCUCAGUCUAGCCCAGGCUGG